UUCACUAUUAGUAAAAGUUUAUUAUAACAUUUUGAUAAGGUGGAGUUAUGUGGUGAAUU
rnacentral:tRNA from 1 species